rnacentral:tRNA from 1 species
GGAGAGAUGACCGAGAGGCCGAAGGUGCUCGCCUGCUAAGUGAGUGUGGCCGAACAGGCCACCGAGGGUUCAAAUCCCUCUCUCUCCGCCA